rnacentral:lncRNA from 1 species
CAUCAUUGCGCCGCAAGGGGUGUUUCUCGAAGCGUCCUGCCGCGUCGCAGCCUAUCCUGCCCCUUUGAACUUACGGGGCCUGCUGGGGGAGGGCUUGGGCGAGGGGCUGGGCUUGGGAGAAGGGCUGCGGUCGUCGUCGUUAUCGUCAUCGUCAUCAUUGUCAGGUGAAGGGCUAGGCCGGGGCGAGGGGCUGGGCUUGGAGGACGGCGAAGGUUUGGGCGAGGGGCUGGGCUGGGGAGAAGGUGAAGGCUUGGGCGAGGGGCUGCGGUCAUCAUCAUCGUCGUUGCCAUCAUCAUCGUCGUCGUCGUCAUCAUUGUCAGGUGAAGGGCUAGGCCGGGGCGAGGGGCUGGGCUUGGGGGACGGCGAGGGUUUGGGCGAGGGGCUGGGCUGGGGAGAAGGUGAAGGCUUGGGCGAGGGGCUGCGGUCAUCAUCAUCGUCGUUGCCAUCAUCAUCGUCGUCGUCGUCAUCAUUGUCAGGUGAAGGGCUAGGCCGGGGCGAGGGGCUGGGCUUGGGGGACGGCGAGGGUUUGGGCGAGGGGCUGGGCUGGGGAGAAGGUGAAGGCUUGGGCGAGGGGCUGCGGUCAUCAUCAUCGUCGUUGCCAUCAUCAUCGUCGUCGUCGUCAUCAUUGUCAGGUGAAGGGCUAGGCCGGGGCGAGGGGCUGGGCUUGGGGGACGGCGAGGGUUUGGGCGAGGGGCUGGGCUGGGGAGAAGGUGAAGGCUUGGGCGAGGGGCUGCGGUCAUCAUCAUCGUCGUUGCCAUCAUCAUCGUCGUCGUCGUCAUCAUUGUCAGGUGAAGGGCUAGGCCGGGGCGAGGGGCUGGGCUUGGGGGACGGCGAGGGUUUUGGCGAGGGGCUGGGCUGGGGAGAAGGUGAAGGCUUGGGCGAGGGGCUGCGGUCAUCAUCAUCGUCGUCGCCAUCAUCAUCAUCAUCAUCAUCGUCAUCAUCAUCAUCGUUGUCAGGUGAAGGGCUAGGCCGGGGCGACGGGCUGGGCUUGGGGGACGGCGAAGGUUUGGGCGAGGGGCUGGGCUGGGGAGAAGGUGAAGGCUUGGGCGAGGGGCUGCGGUCAUCAUCAUCGUCGUCGCCAUCAUCAUCAUCAUCGUCAUCAUCAUCAUCGUUGUCAGGUGAAGGGCUAGGCCGGGGCGACGGGCUGGGCUUGGGGGACGGCGAAGGUUUGGGCGAGGGGCUGGGCUGGGGAGAGGGUGAAGGCUUGGGCGAGGGGCUGCGGUCAUCGUCAUCGUCAUCAUCGUCGUCAUCAUCAUCAUCCGACUGAAGCAAGCGC